CCUACGGGAGGCAGCAGUAAGGAAUAUUGGUCAAUGGAGGCAACUCUGAACCAGCCAUGCCGCGUGCAGGAAGACUGCCCUAUGGGUUGUAAACUGCUUUUAUCCGGGAAUAAACCUGCUUACGUGUAAGUAGCUGAAUGUACCGGAAGAAUAAGGAUCGGCUAACUCCGUGCCAGCAGCCGCGGUAAUACGGAGGAUCCAAGCGUUAUCCGGAUUUAUUGGGUUUAAAGGGUGCGUAGGCGGCCUGUUAAGUCAGGGGUGAAAGACGGUAGCUCAACUAUCGCAGUGCCCUUGAUACUGAUGGGCUUGAAUGGACUAGAGGUAGGCGGAAUGAGACAAGUAGCGGUGAAAUGCAUAGAUAUGUCUCAGAACACCGAUUGCGAAGGCAGCUUACUAUGGUCUUAUUGACGCUGAGGCACGAAAGCGUGGGGGAUCGAAACAGGAUUAGAUACCCUGGUAGUCCACGCCCUAAACCGAUGAACACCCGCUGUUGGCGAUACACAGUCAGCGGCUAAGCGAAAGCGUUAAGUGUUCCACCUGGGGAGUACGCCCGCAAGGGUGAAACGUNAAACGUAGUAGUUGACGGAGAGAGAGCGACGACGACGACGACGGAGGGAGGAG
rnacentral:rRNA from 1 species